AAGAUACUCAUCACUGUGGGCAAACUAAUGACACAUGUUAAGGAAUUCAGUCUUAUGGAAAUCAUCUAAAGGUUUAGAAAUUAGCCACUGAUGAUCUCUAUCAAGAAGAAAGACUAUGCUAUCCUCUCAUUUGCCUUCUGAACAGCAAGAAUGAAAAUUCCAAAAUCAUAGUGGGUUUUUCAAUAUCCACACAGAAAAUGACCAUUUCGUAGUCUGGUUAUUUCAACCUUCACAAUGACCAUUUCAGUGAAGUAUUGUGACCUAACUGCCUAGAAAUCAUCUGCAACUCCACUGAAAAAAGCUCUCUAUGGAAAGAAUAACUCAGUGUCUCUGGAUUACUCGUGGAUGUUUGAGUAGCAAUUUCACGAUCAACCUAUUGUUUUACCUCCAACACAGCUUAACCCACAUUUCCAAGGAUGAAAAUUAACUUCUUAAGAAAAAACUACUAUACAAUAAGCAAUCAAAAGUCUUGGAAGAAGGCUAGGUGGAAGAUUAAGCUAGUGUCGCUAAGCUGGAGUGGAUCGUCAUAAAUCACACAAAUGAAAAUAAAAGGAACAUUUUUAAAAUGA
ensembl:lincRNA 1110015O18Rik RIKEN cDNA 1110015O18 gene